GGGCAGCACGGGAGUAGCAAUACAACUGGUGGCGACCGGCGCACGGGUGAGUAACGCGUAUGCAACCUAUCUAUCAGAGGGGAAUAACCCGGCGAAAGUCGGACUAAUACCGCAUAAAACAGGGACACCGCAUGGUGAUAUUUGUUAAAGAAAUUCGCUGAUAGAUGGGCAUGCGUUCCAUUAGGUAGUUGGUGAGGUAACGGCUCACCAAGCCGACGAUGGAUAGGGGAACUGAGAGGUUGGUCCCCCACACUGGUACUGAGACACGGACCAGACUCCUACGGGAGGCAGCAGUGAGGAAUAUUGGUCAAUGGGCGAGAGCCUGAACCAGCCAAGUCGCGUGAAGGAAGAAGGAUCUAUGGUUCGUAAACUUCUUUUGCAGGGGAAUAAAGUGCAGGACGUGUCCUGUUUUGUAUGUACCCUGAGAAUAAGGAUCGGCUAACUCCGUGCCAGCAGCCGCGGUAAUACGGAGGAUCCGAGCGUUAUCCGGAUUUAUUGGGUUUAAAGGGUGCGUAGGUGGUUUGAUAAGUCAGCGGUGAAAGUUUGCAGCUUAACUGUAAAAAUGCCGUUGAAACUGUCGGACUUGAGUGUAAAUGAGGUAGGCGGAAUGCGUGGUGUAGCGGUGAAAUGCUUAGAUAUCACGAAGAACUCCGAUUG
rnacentral:rRNA from 1 species